GCACAGGAGGCUCAGUCUAAGCAGCCCAAGGGUUGCCCAUCAUUGUCCAUCACCCUAGCUGAGGCAGGACACAAGCAGGACUCUUGUGGGAUAAUGAGAUGUCUGACUUUCUGUGGCAAAUGGAUGAGAACCAUCUCGAGUAACUGAGAAAGUGUGUUAGUGGGUGCUGGCUUACCCUCACUGUGCAAUGGUGAGAGUCUCAAAUCACAGCCCAGGUGGGUCAGGGCCAAUCACCACCAUUGCUGCUGGGCAGCUGCCCAGGAGCACGGAGUACACUCACCAUGGUGGCCCACCUCCAGUGUGGAGGGGUGAUCCUCUUAAAACCUGAGUACAUUAUGGGAGAGGCACAGAGGGACACAUUCAAUGCUUCUUUAUGAAAAACAGCAAUCACCUUUUUGUCCUUCAGUUUGUUCUCUGAGGCAACUUCUUCUGGAGGAAAUUUCACAAGCUGGUUUUGUUCUUUGCCCCACAAACUACAGUUAUAUGCUACCGUCAAGUCUAAGGGUUUCUAGCCCUGAAGGGUCCACUAAAAUUUUGCAAGAAGACUUUUGAAGAGAGGCUUGAGCAUGUGCUGAGUUUCCUGCACUGAGGCUUCCAUCGAAAAUACACAGGGAUGGACUCAAUGUUUGCUGCAGCUUCCUGGGUAUGAGAACGUGUUUGCAUUUUACAUUUGAACUAAAUUCAAGAAAAACAACGUGGCUGUGCAAAAAGGUUUGCCUUUUGUCUUGCUGCUUCUGUGAAAGCUGCCUGGGCUUUCCAUUAGGAGUGAACAGCUUUUAUGAUUUCAUUAUCUCACAUCGGACAAAAUAUUUGAGAACUUUGUGCUUUUAAUAGCUUUGGUAUUCCUACCAUCUCUGACAAUUGCAAUCCGUGUAACCAUUAAGUUUAUUUUUACAUCUAUAAAUAUUUAUUUAUAUAUACCUGUACAUAUAUGUGCAUAUAUCCCUUCAUUUUCACAGCUGGACAGAUAUAGUAUCAGUCAUCAUGAAAGUAUGCUCCUGCAACACUCUGCUCCUGUUUAAUAACCUCUCAAGAUUGAUUUACUCACAUCAGCAUUUUCAAAAACCACGUCAAAAAGUCUCCUUGCAAACUCAUGUAUUGCUUAAAAU
rnacentral:lncRNA from 1 species